rnacentral:rRNA from 1 species
UCAAAGAUUAAGCCAUGCAUGUCUAAGUAUAAACAAUUUUGUACUGUGAAACUGCGAAUGGCUCAUUAUAUCAGUUAUAGUCUAAUCGAUAGUACCUUACUACUUGGAUAACCGUAGUAAUUCUAGAGCUAAUACAUGCAUGAAUACCCAACUGCUUGUCGGGCGGGUAGCAUUUAUUAGAUUGAAACCAAUGCAGUCUUCGGGCUGGUAUUGUGUUGAGUCAUAAUAACUGUGCGGAUCGCGCUUUGCGCGAUAAAUCGAUUGAGUUUCUGCCCUAUCAGCUUUGGAUGGUAGGAUAUGGGCCUACCAUGGCAUUAACGGGUAACGGGGAAUUAGGGUUUGAUUCCGGAGAGGGAGCCUUAGAAACGGCUACCACGUCCAAGGAAGGCAGCAGGGGCGUAAAUUACCCAAUCCUGACACAGGGAGGUAGUGACAAUAAAUAACAAUGCUCUGGCUCUUCGAGUCGGGCAAUUGGAAUGAGAACAAUUUAAAUCCCUUAACGAGGAUCAACUGGAGGGCAAGUCUGGUGCCAGCAGCCGCGGUAAUUCAAGGGCGAAUUCG